GAACGAACGCUGGCGGCGCGUUUAAGCAUGCAAGUCGAGCGGCAAGGGCCUUCGGGCCCCUAGAGCGGCGGACGGGUGAGUAACACGUGGACAAUCUGCCCCCCGGCCCGGGAUAGCCCAGGGAAACCUGGAUUAAUACCGGAUGAGACGGGACCCGCGAAGGCGGGACCCGGGAAAGGCGCUGCGGCGCCGGCGGGGGAUGAGUCUGCGUCCCAUUAGCUAGACGGCGGGGUAACGGCCCACCGUGGCGACGAUGGGUAGCCGGCCUGAGAGGGUGGACGGCCACAUUGGAACUGAGACACGGCCCAAACUCCUACGGGAGGCAGCAGUAGGGAAUUUUCGGCAAUGGGGGAAACCCUGACCGAGCAACGCCGCGUGAAUGAAGAACGUAUUUCGGUAUGUAAAGUUCUUUUAUUAAGGAAGAAUAUCACGGAUAGGAAAUGAUCUGUGAGUGACGGUACUUAAUGAAUAAGCCCCGGCUAACUAUGUGCCAGCCGCUGC
rnacentral:rRNA from 1 species